rnacentral:rRNA from 1 species
GAUCAUGGCUCAGAUUGAACGCUGGCGGCAGGCUUAACACAUGCAAGUCGAACGGUAACAUAAAGAAGCUUGCUUCUUUGAUGACGAGUGGCGGACGGGUGAGUAAUGCUUGGGAAUCUAGCUUAUGGAGGGGGAUAACUACGGGAAACUGUAGCUAAUACCGCGUAGAAUAGGGAGAUGAAAGUGUGGGACCUUCGGGCCACAUGCCAUAGGAUGAGCCCAAGUGGGAUUAGGUAGUUGGUG